UGAGUAAGACAGAUGGUCGCUGCUGCAGAGACGAAAGGCUGCAGGAGAGGAAAGUCCGGGCUUCACAGGGCAGGAUGCCAGAUAACGUCUGGUGGAGGCGACUCCAAGGACAGUGCAACAGAAAUAAACCGCAGGGACAUUCCCUGUAAGGGUGGAAAGGCAGUGUAAGAGACUACCGCCUUCCUGGUAACAGGAAGGGCAUAUGUAAACCCCAUCCGAAGCAAGGCCGAACAGGAAGCACAGGCGGCCCGUCCGCUUCCGGGUAGGCCGCUGGAGCCUGGCGGUGACGCCAGGCCUAGAUAGAUGACCAUCCAACGACAUAACCCGGCUUAUCGUCUUGCUCAUGCC
rfam:Lachnoclostridium sp. An14 An14_contig_4, whole genome shotgun sequence.